GGCAGGCUUAACACAUGCAAGUCGAGGGGCAGCGGGCCUGGUAGCAAUACCGGGUGCCGGCGACCGGCGCACGGGUGCGUAACGCGUAUGCAACCUGCCCUGUACAGGGGGAUAACGGAGGGAAACUUCCACUAAUAUCCCAUGGUGUCGCGAGGCCGCAUGGUGUUGCGACUAAAGCUUCGGUGGUACAGGAUGGGCAUGCGUGACAUUAGGUAGUUGGCGGGGUAACGGCCCACCAAGCCGACGAUGUCUAGGGGAGCUGAGAGGCUAACCCCCCACACUGGUACUGAGACACGGACCAGACUCCUACGGGAGGCAGCAGUGAGGAAUAUUGGUCAAUGGACGGAAGUCUGAACCAGCCAUGCCGCGUGGAGGAAGAAGGUCCUAUGGGUUGUAAACUCCUUUUGUUCCGGAGUAAUAAGCGGUUUGCGAACCGUGAUGAGAGUACGGGACGAAUAAGCAUCGGCUAACUCCGUGCCAGCAGCCGCGGUAAUACGGAGGAUGCGAGCGUUAUCCGGAUUUAUUGGGUUUAAAGGGUGCGCAGGCGGCGCGUUAAGUCAGCGGUGAAAUGUCCCGGCUCAACCGGGGAGCUGCCGUUGAUACUGGCGUGCUGGAGUACGACGCGCCGGCGGAAUGUGUCAUGUAGCGGUGAAAUGCUUAAAUAUGCCACAGAACACCGAUCGCGAAGGCAGCUGGCGAGGCCGGUACUGACCCUCAUGCACGAAGCUGGGGAUCAACAGGAUUAGAUACCCUGGUAGUC
rnacentral:rRNA from 1 species